AUGGAGGGGCUCGACGUCGACGACGUCUUCCACCACUACCGGCUGAGCCCUACGGAAGUGGAGGCCGUCACCUACUACCUGCCACGCUUCCUCUCCGGCCAGACGCUGCACGGCGCCGACAAGCUCAUCCACCGCGUCGAAAUCUCCGGCUGCGAGCCCAAGGAUCUGGCCGCCCCAUACGCGCCCGCGCCGCAGGCCGUGAGCAGCGGCGACCGGUUCUUCUUCACCACGUGCAAGAGCAAGAACGGGAGCAAGCUCCAGAGCGUGCGCGGCGCCGGCGGCGGCACCUGGACCAUCCAGAAGACCACGGAGAUUAGCCACGCGGGAGUCAAGGUCGGCGAGGUCAAGAACCUGUCCUUCAAGAAGAAGGGCAAGUCCACCGGCUGGGUCAUGGAGGAGUACCGGUGCCUGCUGCCGGAGGCCAAUGUCAGCGACGGGGUGAAGGUGUUCUGCAGAAUGCACUUGGCUCAGCAUGCCCCUGACGCGGCCCGCCAGGAAUCGGAGGCCUACAAGCUUCAGCAACAGCAACCAGAGGCCGUGACCCCGAGCACGCACGCGCAGAAGAGGCCAGCGCCCGCUGCCGCCGCCGAUCCUCAUCCGCCGCGCCCCAAGAAGAGGAUGCGCGGUGCCGUCCCCGUCCCGGCACCUGCCACACCGUCGUUCUUGAUGUAUGAUGAUGCAGCCAGAGUAUCAUCCGAGUCCACUACAGCAUCCAACCACACCGACGUUGCUUCUUCUUCACAUAAUAAGCAGCCACAAGCUCAAGCUCCGGAGAUUUCCUCCCAGUCAGAUGUGCUGGAGUCCACCCAAUCAGUUUUGCUGGAGUCUGUCAAGCAUUACAGCCAAUAA
rnacentral:rRNA from 1 species